GUGAACCAGUACCGUGAGGGAAAGGCGAAAAGAACCCCGGCGAGGGGAGUGAAAAAGAACCUGAAACCGUGUACGUACAAGCAGUGGGAGCACAGGUUUACCUGUGUGACUGCGUACCUUUUGUAUAAUGGGUCAGCGACUUAUAUUCUGUAGCAAGGUUAACCGAAUAGGGGAGCCGGAGGGAAACCGAGUCUUAAUUGGGCGUUAAGUUGCAGGGUAUAGACCCGAAACCCGGUGAUCUAGCCAUGGGCAGGUUGAAGGUUGGGUAACACUAACUGGAGGACCGAACCGACUAAUGUUGAAAAAUUAGCGGAUGACCUGUGGCUGGGGGUGAAAGGCCAAUCAAACCGGGAGAUAGCUGGUUCUCCCCGAAAGCUAUUUAGGUAGCGCCUCGUGAAUUCAUCUCCGGGGGUAGAGCACUGUUUCGGCUAGGGGGCCAUCCCGGCUUACCAACCCGAUGCAAACUGCGAAUACCGGAGAAUGUUAUCACGGGAGACACACGGCGGGUGCUAACGUCCGUCGUGAAGAGGGAAACAACCCAGACCGCCAGCUAAGGUCCCAAAGUCAUGGUUAAGUGGGAAACGAUGUGGGAAGGCCCAGACAGCCAGGAUGUUGGCUUAGAAGCAGCCAUCAUUUAAAGAAAGCGUAAUAGCUCACUGGUCGAGUCGGCCUGCGCGGAAGAUGUAACGGGGCUAAACCAUGCACCGAAGCUGCGGCAGCGACGCUUAUGCGUUGUUGGGUAGGGGAGCGUUCUGUAAGCCUGUGAAGGUGUGUCGUGAGGC
rnacentral:rRNA from 1 species